rnacentral:rRNA from 1 species
AGACCCGAAACCCGGUGAUCUAGCCAUGGGCAGGUUGAAGGUUGGGUAACACUAACUGGAGGACCGAACCGACUAAUGUUGAAAAAUUAGCGGAUGACCUGUGGCUGGGGGUGAAAGGCCAAUCAAACCGGGAGAUAGCUGGUUCUCCCCGAAAGCUAUUUAGGUAGCGCCUCGUGAAGUCAUCUCCGGGGGUAGAGCACUGUUUCGGCUAGGGGGCCAUCCCGGCUUACCAACCCGAUGCAAACUGCGAAUACCGGAGAAUGUUAUCACGGGAGACACACGGCGGGUGCUAACGUCCGUCGUGAAGAGGGAAACAACCCAGACCGCCAGCUAAGGUCCCAAAGUCAUGGUUAAGUGGGAAACGAUGUGGGAAGGCCCAGACAGCCAGGAUGUUGGCUUAGAAGCAGCCAUCAUUUAAAGAAAGCGUAAUAGCUCACUGGUCGAGUCGGCCUGCGCGGAAGAUGUAACGGGGCUAAACCAUGCAC